GAUGAACGCUGGCGGCGUGCCUAGUACAUGCAAGUCGAGCGAAUGGAUUAAGAGCUUGCUCUUAUGAAGUUAGCGGCGGACGGGUGAGUAACACGUGGGUAACCUGCCCAUAAGACUGGGAUAACUCCGGGAAACCGGGGCUAAUACCGGACAACAUUUUGAACCGCAUGGUUCGAAAUUGAAAGGCGGCUUCGGCUGGCACUCAUGGAUGGACCCGCGUCGCAUUAGCCAGUUGGUGAGGUAACGGCUCAACAAGGCAACGAUGCGUAGCCGACCUGAGAGGGUGAUCGGCCACACUGGGACUGAGACACGGCCCAGACUCCUACGGGAGGCAGCAGUAGGGAAUCUUCCGCAAUGGACGAAAGUCUGACGGAGCAACGCCGCGUGAGUGAUGAAGGCUUUCGGGUCGUAAAACUCUGUUGUUAGGGAAGAACAAGUGCUAGUUGAAUAAGCUGGCACCUUGACGGUACCUAACCAGAAAGCCACGGCUAACUACGUGCCAGCCGCCGCGGUAA
rnacentral:rRNA from 1 species